UGGAUUCAUCUGGUGCGUGAAGUCUUCCUUAGGGUUUUUUCUGAAAGGGGCGUGAGGCACUUAGGGUUCUUCCUAAGAAUCCUAGGCGUGAGUUUUAGGGAAGAGAGAAAAGAAAAGAGAAUGGAUUCUCUAGGUUUUCAUCUUUCAUCUACCUCCUAUUCCUCUUCUGAGAUCUGAGAGAGUUUGAAAGAUCUGAAGAAGAAAUCAGCAUCAAUCAUCAGGAGAUGACUUCUGCAAGGGAGCUAGCAUCCCAGUGAAGUCAGGAGCCUCUGAUCGGAUUCAGGACUUCGUGUAGAUACCUAUAGAGACUGAACAUAUGUGCGGCUCUGCAGGAACCUCAUCAGAUUAUCACGAUCAUCAGCAGUGAAGAUCAUCAAUCCGCAUAAAGAUAUGGAGAUCGGAUCUUUGGAUUUUUGAUAUUUUUUAAAUUUGAUUUUUAUUUUCAGCAUCUUAAUCUAGCAUGUGAUAGAUCCUAGGGUGGCAUUAGAUUAGAUCUCAUGCGUGCAUGAUAGAUUAAAUUAGAUUCAAUCAGAUUUAAAAUAUUUUUGCUACUAGAUUUUUUUUAAAAACAAAUUCAGCAUGCACAUCUAAUUAGGAGAUGAGAUUUUUUAGAUUUUUCUUUAAGUAUAAAUAUAUGUGUCAGAUUGAUUGGCUUCCAAGACAUACAUCUAACAUAUAGC
rnacentral:lncRNA from 1 species